rnacentral:rRNA from 1 species
GAUGAACGCUGGCGGCGUGCCUAAUACAUGCAAGUCGAGCGAACAGACGAGGAGCUUGCUCCUCUGACGUUAGCGGCGGACGGGUGAGUAACACGUGGAUAACCUACCUAUAAGACUGGGAUAACUUCGGGAAACCGGAGCUAAUACCGGAUAAUAUAUUGAACCGCAUGGUUCAAUAGUGAAAGACGGUUUUGCUGUCACUUAUAGAUGGAUCCGCGCCGCAUUAGCUAGUUGGUAAGGUAACGGCUUACCAAGGCAACGAUGCGUAGCCGACCUGAGAGGGUAAUCUGCCACACUGGAACUGAGACACGGUCCAGACUCCUACGGGAGGCAGCAGUAGGGAAUCUUCCGCAAUGGGCGAAAGCCUGACGGAGCAACGCCGCGUGAGUGAUGAAGGUCUUCGGAUCGUAAAACUCUGUUAUUAGGGAAGAACAAAUGUGUAAGUAACUAUGCACGUCUUGACGGUACCUAAUCAGAAAGCCACGGCUAACUACGUG